UUCAGUUUAAAGACUUACAGAGAAAGAGAGUCCACCACUCUCCAAGACAUUUCUGUUCCAUUGUUCAACAGCUCUUACAUCAAAGAAGCUCUUCCCAAUGUUUAGGUGGAAUCUAUUUCAUUUUUAUUUAAAUCCAUUGGUGCGUAUUAUAAUCUUUGAAGCAGAAGAGAACAAGUUUGCUCAAUCUUCUACAAGUCAGCUAUCCCGUCACCUCAAAAUAUCCUCCAAGUUUAACACAUCCUAAGUUGUUUCUCAGAAAGCUUGAUUUUCAAAUGUUUUACUUCUUUGAUCACCCUUCUCUAGACACCUUCCAGCUUGUCCAUAUCCUGCUAGAAUUCUGGAGCCCAGAACUAGAAACAGGGAUAUUUCAGGUUGCCACCGAAAAUGGUCUGCUGAGAUAUUCCCAAGCAUGCCUUGCAGACGCGCAAGUAUUAAAGGAAGGCUCAUUAUGCUGACUUAAUUUAAGACACUAGCGCAUUUUCAAGGCACACAAGGCUUAUCUAACGGCUACAAACCAGAGCUAUUUGUAACCGUUAAAGACAUAAUCAAAGGGGGACUAACUUAAAUGUGAGGAGAGAGAACAAAAAGCAUUUAUAAGAUCUAUUAAAAAAGAGCAAGAAGAAAAGAACUCUAUAAUUCACUGCUUGUUAUUUAUUUAUUCCCGGCACGACAGGUCUUGCCAUUAAACUAGCUGGAGGAAAAGCCUGUUCCAUCUUUGGGCUUCUGUGUGAAGUCCUCAUGUUGUAUUUUGUAUAUAUUACUUUUCAUUACUGCCACUAACCAUUUCUUACUCUUCAUUUUUGUCAUGUGCUUUAUCU
rnacentral:lncRNA from 11 species